GUGAGGAAUAUUGCGCAAUGGAGGCAACUCUGACGCAGCCAUGCCGCGUGCAGGAAGAAGGCGCUACGCGUUGUAAACUGCUUUUAACCGGGAAGAAACCCCAGGACGUGUCCUGGGUUGACGGUACCGGAGGAAUAAGCACCGGCUAACUUCGUGCCAGCAGCCGCGGUAAUACGAAGGGUGCAAGCGUUAUCCGGAUUCAUUGGGUUUAAAGGGUGCGUAGGCGGAGCGUUAAGUCAGUGGUGAAAUCCUGCAGCUUAACUGUAGACUUGCCAUUGAUACUGGCGCUCUUGAGUGCGCUUGAAGUGGGCGGAAUGUGCCGUGUAGCGGUGAAAUGCUUAGAUAUGGCUCAGAACACCAAUUGCGAAGGCAGCUCACUAAGGCGAUACUGACGCUGAGGCACGAAAGCGUGGGGAUCGAACAGGAUUAGAUACCCCGGUAGUCC
rnacentral:rRNA from 1 species